UCGAGCGGAACGAGUUAUCUGAACCUUCGGGGGACGAUAACGGCGUCGAGCGGCGGACGGGUGAGUAAUGCCUAGGAAAUUGCCCUGAUGUGGGGGAUAACCAUUGGAAACGAUGGCUAAUACCGCAUGAUGCCUACGGGCCAAAGAGGGGGACCUUCGGGCCUCUCGCGUCAGGAUAUGCCUAGGUGGGAUUAGCUAGUUGGUGAGGUAAGGGCUCACCAAGGCGACGAUCCCUAGCUGGUCUGAGAGGAUGAUCAGCCACACUGGAACUGAGACACGGUCCAGACUCCUACGGGAGGCAGCAGUGGGGAAUAUUGCACAAUGGGCGCAAGCCUGAUGCAGCCAUGCCGCGUGUGUGAAGAAGGCCUUCGGGUUGUAAAGCACUUUCAGUCGUGAGGAAGGUAGUGUCGUUAAUAGCGGCAUUACUUGACGUUAGCGACAGAAGAAGCACCGGCUAACUCCGUGCCAGCAGCCGCGGUAAUACGGAGGGUGCGAGCGUUAAUCGGAAUUACUGGGCGUAAAGCGCAUGCAGGUGGUUUGUUAAGUCAGAUGUGAAAGCCCGGGGCUCAACCUCGGAAUAGCAUUUGAAACUGGCAGACUAGAGUACUGUAGAGGGGGGUAGAAUUUCAGGUGUAGCGGUGAAAUGCGUA
rnacentral:rRNA from 1 species